rnacentral:lncRNA from 1 species
GGCGCCCUAUCGGGCCCGAGCCGAGUGGCCCCGCGGAGCCGGCGCGCUCCCGCCUGCAGGGGGAGGGCGAGACGGGGCGCUGGGACCGGCCAGGCCGCAGCGGGCGCUGUUUCUCUUUCACUUUCCUUCCCUCCGGGGUCGGCGCGCUGGCGGGUGAGGAGCGGCCGAGGCGGCGGCGGGGUCGGGACCGUGCGUUUCUGCUUUCAAAGGACUUUCUCUUACUUCGGAGCUUCGUGACUAACCCGUGGGAAAGCCAGGGCAGGUAAUCCCAACGUACAGAGGAGGAAUCCGAGACCCAGGUACGGAUAUUAAAUGACUUCCUGAAGGUCAUACAGGAUCGAAGACAAGAACCCAGUCCAGACCCCACCCCCCACCCCCAUUCCGUGUCAGUUACUAGGCCGUCAAUAUGAUUUCCCGAGCAGACGAGGUGAUUAUAGCCAGAUCACAUCCCAUACACAUUCUCAAUGGCUGUGCUUCGAUGGAAUGUUGCUUUUUACCCUUACAGUUGCUUUCUAAUUGUCUAUGAGUUCAACAGCUAAGUUAGGAGAAAAGUUCCUGUUCAUAGAAUGAACUUAAGAAAAUCAACACCUUCUUUCAUGUUGUGUUCUCAGAGAAGGGACACUCAUUGUAACCUUUAAAACUUUUUUAGUCACCUUAUGUACAAACCAGCUUUGCUAAAAGUUUCAGAAAAUGUUAGUGACAUUUAUUCCGUUAUGUGUAUUGUCUCAUUUAAUCCUAACUAUUUUAGGUGGUUGGCACUUUUAUUACUUCCAUUUUACAAUUUUUAAAAAAAUGCAGACUUAGAGAGGAUAGGUAAUAUUGCCCAGGUUAUAUAUCUACUAAAUGCUACUGGUUUCUAUAAAGGGUUUUGCAGUCUUAUACGGGAGAUAAAGAAUAAG